rnacentral:tRNA from 1 species
GCGGAUAUGGCGGAAUUGGCAGACGCGCAUGAUUCAGGUUCAUGUCUUUCACGAGGUGCAGGUUCAAGUCCUGUUAUCCGCACCA